AUCGCUAUGAACAUAUGGCUAUUGUUUUGCGACACUUCACGAAGUCCCUUUUGCUGUACCUCGUUUUGUCAGUCCAAUUAAUACCAAAGUUUCAAGCAAUACGUUUUUACAUGCACUGCGAGGAUAUUCAGCAUGUCAGUUACUACUGGUAAAGUUAAGUUUUUCAACGAAUCAAAAGGCUUCGGUUUCAUCGAGCAAGAAAACGGCGCGGACGUAUUCGUUCAUUUCAGCGCUAUCCAGAUGGACGGCUUCAAAACCUUAUCUGAAGGUCAGCAAGUUCAGUUCACUGUGACUCAAGGCCCUAAAGGUCCUCAAGCUGAGAACGUGACUGCAGUUUAAUCUGUUAACACGUUAUAGAUUUCAAAACGCCGCUUUCAUGCGGCGUUUUUUGU
rnacentral:sRNA from 1 species